ensembl:lncRNA
ACUGUUACUGCCCCCUCUUCUCUCUGUUGCUCUUUCAAGUAAGAUGAAAAUAAAUAAACAAUUGAAAAAUACUAUUUUAAAAGGAUACUAUCAGUAGACUGAAAAGGAAACCUAUGGAAUGGAAGAAAAUACUCAAACCAUGUAUUGGGUGAGGGAUUAUCUUAGCUUGUUUUUUGUCUGUUUGUUUUCUGCCUAAACACAAUACCACUGACUGGGUAAUUUAUAAAGAGCAGAAAUGUAUUUCUCACAGUUGCGUAGGCUUGGAAGUCUAAAAUCAAGGACUCGGGCCGGCGCCGCGGCUCAAUAGGCUAAUCCUCCACCUGCAGCGCCGGCACACUGGGUUCUAGUCCCAGUCGGGGCGCCGGAUUCUGUCCUGGUUGCCCCUCUUCCAGGCCAGCUCUCUGCUAUGGCCCGGGAGUACAGUGGAGGAUGGCCCAAGUCCUUGGGCCCUGCACCCGCAUGGGAGACCAGGAGAAGCACCUGGCUCCUGGCUUCGGAUCAGCGCGGUGCCGGCUGCUGGCUCUCUGUCUCUCUCUCUCUCUCACUGUCCACUCUGUCUGUUACAAAAGUAAAAAAAAAAAAAAAAAUCAAGGACUCGAUGCAGGGUCUGGCAGUUGCCUUUUGGCCCCUUUAUUCCCACAGUGGAGGAUGGGAGGAAUGGCAAGACAGGGAAAAGAAGGGCCAGAAACAGGACAGGGCACCCCUGUCCCGAGGUGUGUACUGGGGGGGGCAGUGAAACAUGGCAGGAACCUGAGGGAGUUGCGCUCACAGUGGCCCCCAGCCUCAGCGACUACUUGUGACCUGGGAGAGGGACCACAUUCACUUCUUUUUUUUUUUUUUUAAGAUUGAUCUAUUUGUUUGUUUGUUUGAGAGAUAGAGCCACAGAAAGAGAGGGAGAGGUCUUCCAUCUGCUGGCUCACCCCUUAAAUGGUUGCAAUGGCCAUAGCUGGAUGGAUUCAAAGCCAGGAACCAGAAGCUUCCUCCAGGUCCCCCAUGGAGGUGCAGGGGCACAAACACUUGGGCCAAUUUCCACUGCCCUCCCAGGCCAUAGCAGAGAGCUGGUUUGGAAGAGGAGUAGCCGGGACACAAACUGGUGCCCACAUGGGAUGCCAGUGCUGCAGUCAGAGGCUUAGCCCACCACGCCACAGUGCCAGCCCCCAUAUUCACUUCUUUUUUUUUUUCACAUUCACUUCUAACCAUCAACAUUAUCAUUGGCCCCAGUCACUGACAGAAAACCUAACCUUGCUUCAACACCAGGAAGGAAGCCUGAUGCCUCCUGCAGCCCUUUAGCCACACCUCCAAAGUUCAGCUCCAUCAGCUCCUUCUCACCCUGGCUGACCAGCACACCUGCUUCCAUCUGCCAUGCCCCCCUCUUGCACUUGGGAGACCAUGCAAAACUUUUGUGGUCACAGCUCACUCAUAACCUUCUCUGCCCUGUGUGGGGGUACUCAACAUGGGUGUUGGACCCUGUGUCCUCACCUGAGUUGAACUUGGACCUAGGCUUCCUUUGAUGUACAGCUGGGACUUAACAUGGAGGGUGGCCCUGAGCUCUUUUUGAUGGGUUAAGGAAGAGGGAAGGAGAGAGGAGGCAAGAAAAGAGAGAUGGCUAUGAGGUUGGAGGGGGAAUGGAAGUAUGCAUAGACUUUGGGGUCAAAUAUUACCAGGAGCCUACCCUGGAUUUAUCCAUUCCCCCAGGACCUGAAGAGAGGAGACCACCCUUGGGUCCUGGGAACAACCACAGAACCUGUGACCCAUGCACAGGGCAUGUGACCAACGAUGCGGAGCGUGACCAGCCACAGGGCAUGUGACCAACCAUGGGAAGUCUGACCAACCACGGGGAGUC